rnacentral:rRNA from 1 species
UACGAAGGGGGCUAGCGUUGCUCGGAAUCACUGGGCGGAAAGAGCUCGUAGGUGGUUCGGUAAGUCGGGUGUUAAACCCCCAGGCUCAACCUGGGGACGCCACUCGAUACUGCUGUGACUUGAGUCCGGUAGGGGAGCGUGGAAUUCCUGGUGUAGCGGUGAAAUGCGCAGAUAUCAGGAGGAACACCAGCGGCGAAGGCGGCGCUCUGGGCCGGUACUGACACUGAGGAGCGAAAGCGUGGGUAGCAAACAGG